UGGGGAAUAUUGCACAAUGGGGGAAACCCUAAUGCAGCGACGCCGCGUGAACGAAGAAGGUAUUCGUAUCGUAAAGUUCUGUCCUAUGGGAAGAUAAUGACAGUACCAUAGAAGAAAGCUCCGGCUAAAUACGUGCCAGCAGCCGCGGUAAUACGUAUGGAGCGAGCGUUGUCCGGAAUUAUUGGGCGUAAAGGGUACGCAGGCGGUUUAAUAAGUCGAAUGUUAAAGAUCGGGGCUCAACCCCGUAAAGCAUUGGAAACUGAUAAACUUGAGUAGUGGAGAGGCAAGUGGAAUUCCUAGUGUAGUGGUGAAAUACGUAGAUAUUAGGAGGAAUACCAGUAGCGAAGGCGACUUUCUGGACACAAACUGACGCUGAGGUACGAAAGCGUGGGGAGCAAACAGG
rnacentral:rRNA from 1 species